UGCCUAGGGGCGCAGCAGUGGGGAAUAUUGCACAAUGGGGGGAACCCUGAUGCAGCGACGCCGCGUGGGAGAUGGAGUAUUUCGGUAUGUAAAGCCCUAUCGGCAGGGAAGAAACUGACAGUACCUGACUAAGAAGCCCCGGCUAACUACGUGCCAGCAGCCGCGGUAAUACGUAGGGGGCAAGCGUUAUCCGGAUUUACUGGGUGUAAAGGGAGCGUAGGCGGCCUGGCAAGCCUGAUGUGAAAUACCGGGGCCCAACCCCCGGGCUGCAUUGGGAACUGCCAGGCUGGAGUGCCGGAGAGGCG
rnacentral:rRNA from 1 species